rnacentral:rRNA from 1 species
GACGAACGCUGGCGGCGUGCUUAACACAUGCAAGUCGAACGGAAAGGCCUGCUUUCCCUUGUGGAUUGCGGGUACUCGAGUGGCGAACGGGUGAGUAACACGUGAGUGAUCUGCCCCCAACUUGGGUAUAAGCCUGGGGAACUGGGUCUAAUUCCCGAUAGGACUGCAGGGUGGUGCCUGUGGUGGAAAACGAUUUUCUAGUGGUUGGGGAUGAGCUCGCGGCCUAUCAGCUUGUUGGUGGGGUAAUGGCCUACCAAGGCGGCGACGGGUAGCCGGCCUGAGAGGGUGGACGGCCACAUUGGGACUGCGAUACGGCCCAGACUCCUACGGGAGGCAGCCGUGGGGAAUAUUGCACAAUGGGCGGAAGCCUGAUGCAGCGACGCCGCGUGGGGGAUGACGGCCUUCGGGUUGUAAACUCCUUUCGACCGCGAGGAAGCCACCUGGUUGGAAGGGUGGUGACGGUAGUGGUAGAAGAAGCACCGGCUAACUACGUG